rfam:Dipodomys ordii contig_54742, whole genome shotgun sequence.
GGUGGUUUAGUGGUAAAGCGCUUGCCUUGCAGGCAUGAAGCCCUGGGUUCAAUUCCUCAGUACCA